UCAAGUAAUAAAAGACAACCAGAUAAAUAUAAAAUCUUCAUAAACUAACAUAAUAUUUAUAAAUUCUGUGUCACAUAUUUUCGUGUCAGUUAGACACGAAAAUAUGUGACACAGAAUGUAGACAUAUUUUCUUAGAGGUACUUAUUUCAAUUUUAAAAGAAUUGUCGUCGUAACAAAAAUAUUUAUUGUUAUUUAAAAAAUGACAUUUAUAGUGGCCUAUUUUUGUGCCUGGUAUAAAUUCUAUAGUACCAACUAAGAAAUAAUAAUUAUCCUUAAUGCUACGAGUAAUCGGCAAUUCAGUGAGUAAAACUGAGUCUGCAGCUCCGUUUAAAUCAAAUGUUAUGAUCUCGCCUAGCUUAAGUUCACCUUUCAACUCUGUGUCACAUUUUUGACACAUUGUGUUAACACAAAGAAAUUUUAAUCUAUUUGUGACUUUGAUUUUUAUAAAGUAUGCACUCUCCCUAAAAAAAUAAGACGUGAAUAACGAAAAUUUCGAAUAUGUGAAAAUGCAUGGACACCCUACUCUCAUACAGUUUCAUACCACUGUGUUUUUGUAAAUAUCUCCUAAAAUACGAAUGCUGCAGUUAAAUUCGCUAUAUUUAUUCAAACUAGGUUACGUUACCCAUCGACUAGUACUUUAAUUAAGCUAAAACCUACUUUUAAUAACGAGAAAAACGAAAUUGUAUUUUAGGCAUAUUGCCGUCCGCGCGGCCAACUAAAAUCGACUCUAACAUAUUAUUGAACCUGCUUUCUAGUAUUUUUUUGUCUUUUUUCGCUGUAACAAAUUAAAGACUAAUUUUCUAUACA